ACGAAGAACCUUACCUGGGUUUGACAUGGACGUGGUAGGGAAGCGAAAGCGGACCGACCCUUCGGGAGCGUUCACAGGUGCUGCAUGGCUGUCGUCAGCUCGUGCCGUGAGGUGUCGGGUUAAGUCCCGUAACGAGCGCAACCCCUGUCCUUAGUUACAAGUGUCUAAGGGGACUGCCGGCGGUAAGCCGGAGGAAGGUGGGGAUGACGUCAAGUCAGCAUGGCCCAUAUGUCCAGGGCUACACACACGCUACAAUGGCCAGUACAAUGGGCAGCGAGACCGCGAGGUGGAGCGAAUCCCAACAAAGCUGGUCAUAGUUCGAAUUGCAGGCUGCAACUCGCCUGCAUGAAGCUGGAGUUGCUAGUAACCGCGCGUCAGCUAUAGUGCGGUGAAUACGUUCCCGGGGCUU
rnacentral:rRNA from 1 species